GACGAACGCUGGCGGCGUGCCUAACACAUGCAAGUCGAGCGAAGUGAGUACUACGGUACGAACUUAGCGGCGGACGGGUGAGUAACGCGUGGACAAUCUACCCUGUAGACUGGGAUAACACCUCGAAAGGGGUGCUAAUACCGGAUAAUGUCGAGAAGCGGCAUCGCUUUUCGAAGAAAGGAGAGAAUCCGCUAUAGGAGGAGUCCGCGUCCCAUUAGCUAGUUGGUGAGGGUAACGGCCCACCAAGGCGACGAUGGGUAGCCGGCCUGAGAGGGUGAACGGCCACACUGGAACUGAGACACGGUCCAGACUCCUACGGGAGGCAGCAGUGGGGAAUAUUGUGCAAUGGGGGAAACCCUGACACAGCAACGCCGCGUGAGCGAAGAAGGCCUUCGGGUUGUAAAGCUCAAUAGUAUGGGAAGAUAAUGACGGUACCAUACGAAAGUCCCGGCUAACUACGUGCCAGCCGCCGCUGUAA
rnacentral:rRNA from 1 species